GGGGAAUUUUGGACAAUGGGCGAAAGCCUGAUCCAGCAAUGCCGCGUGAGUGAAGAAGGCCUUCGGGUUGUAAAGCUCUUUCAAUCGAGAAGAAAAAAUCAUGACUAAUAAUCAUGAUUAAUGACGGUAUCGAUAGAAGAAGCACCGGCUAACUACGUGCCAGCAGCCGCGGUAAUACGUAGGGUGCUAGCGUUAAUCGGAAUUACUGGGCGUAAAGGGUGCGCAGGCGGUUUUGUAAGUCAGAUGUGAAAUCCCCGGGCUUAACCUGGGAAUUGCGUUUGAAACUACAAAACUAGAGUGUAGCAGAGGGAGGUGGAAUUUCAUGUGUAGCAGUGAAAUGCGUAGAGAUAUGGAAGAACAUCGAUGGCGAAGGCAGCCUCCUGGGUUAACACUGACGCUCAUGCACGAAAGCGUGGGGAGCAAAC
rnacentral:rRNA from 1 species